rnacentral:rRNA from 1 species
AUUAGCAUAUCAAUAAGCGGAGGAAAAGAAACCAACAGGGAUUGCCCUAGUAACGGCGAGUGAAGCGGCAACAGCUCAAAUUUGAAAUCUGGCUCUCGGGCCCGAGUUGUAAUUUGUAGAGGAUGCUUUUGAUGCGGUGCCUUCCGAGUUCCCUGGAACGGGACGCCAUAGAGGGUGAGAGCCCCGUCUGGUUGGAUGCCAAAUCUCUGUAAAGCUCCUUCGACGAGUCGAGUAGUUUGGGAAUGCUGCUCUAAAUGGGAGGUAUAUGUCUUCUAAAGCUAAAUACCGGCCAGAGACCGAUAGCGCACAAGUAGAGUGAUCGAAAGAUGAAAAGCACUUUGAAAAGAGAGUUAAAAAGUACGUGAAAUUGUUGAAAGGGAAGCGUUUAUGACCAGACUUGGGCUUGGUUAAUCAUCUGGGGUUCUCCCCAGUGCACUUUUCCAGUCCAGGCCAGCAUCAGUUUUCGCCGGGGGAUAAAGGCUUCGGGAAUGUGGCUCUCUCCGGGGAGUGUUAUAGCCCGUUGCGUAAUACCCUGGCGGGGACUGAGGUUCGCGCAUCUGCAAGGAUGCUGGCGUAAUGGUCAUCAACGACCCGUCUUGAAACACGGACCAAGGAGUCGUCUUCGUAUGCGAGUGUUCGGGUGUCAAACCCCUACGCGUAAUGAAAGUGAACGCAGGUGAGAGCUUCGGCGCAUCAUCGACCGAUCCUGAUGUUCUCGGAUGGAUUUGAGUAAGAGCAUACGGGGCCGGACCCGAAAGAAGGUGAACUAUGCCUGUGUAGGGUGAAGCCAGAGGAAACUCUGGUGGAGGCUCGCAGCGGUUCUGACGUGCAAAUCGAUCGUCAAACAUGGGCAUGGGGGGCGAAAGACUAAUCGAACCUUCUAGUAGCUGGUUUCCGCCGAAUU